rnacentral:rRNA from 1 species
UACGAAGGGGGCUAGCGUUGUUCGGAAUCACUGGGCGUAAAGGGCGCGUAGGCGGCUUUAUAAGUUGGGGGUGAAAGCCUGUGGCUCAACCACAGAAUUGCCUUCGAUACUGUAGAGCUUGAGACCGGAAGAGGUAAGUGGAACUGCGAGUGUAGAGGUGAAAUUCGUAGAUAUUCGCAAGAACACCAGUGGCGAAGGCGGCUCACUGGCCCGGUACUGACGCUGAGGCACGAAAGCGUGGGGAGCAAACAGG